CCUACGUUAUUCAAGACAGCACCUGAAGAUAAGCCAACCACUCUGUGGUUCUUGGUGCUGCGCAUUCGUGGCUUGUGAUGUCUCAUUGACUCCAUUGCAUGCUGCCAUUGCCAGCAGCUACGACAGAAGUAUCUGAAACACACCUGAUAAACAAAACUUGUUUUUAUCUCUAUGAAGGCGGCGGUUAUCGCUUUGAAGUAAGAGCGUGUGCUGCUGAAAGUUACUCGAGCCGAUCCGAUCGGAUAUUUGUAUUUGUCCGUAUCGAUACCUGGGAUGAAGCAAAGUGAAUCGGUUAGUCAGAUUAUUUCUACUUACUUCCUGUGCGUUAAUGGAAUCGUCUGAUCCCACCUGCAUAAAUUACUUCUUCGAAAAGAUCAUUCAUAAUUUUGGCAAGCCCUUUUGCGGUCAACAUUCCAUGCAAAGCCCCGACAAACACAGUUUUUUGUGGGUCUAAUUUCUGUGAAGAGGACUUCACAUAGUUGCUAUCGUUCAAAACCCAAGGAAUUACUUCAACCUGUAUAGAUCAUAAUGAAUUAUCAAAUCAUUAUUUACCUGCAUUGAAAAUAUACGAUAUGACUUGG